AGCAAGAGAGGGGACUGCAGUGGGGUUCCCUGGCCGAGCCCGCGCCCCUGUGCCCGGCCAGCAGCCACCCCCUGAGGCAGCAAGCGCUGGGUCUUCCCGAAGAUUCUGAGCAGAGAAACACAGCCAGGAGCUGCUUCAGAGCGUGUAAUUAAAAUCAGCUAUUAAAAAGGCAGAGGAACAGCGUGCCCGACGCUGGGAGCGCAGUGCAGCCCGGAGAGGAAGCACACCCUGAACCCCAGCAUCUCUCCUCCGACUGCCACACCUGGGAUGUGCACUCAGGGGCCGGGCCAGCACCGGGAGGGGACUUUCUGGCUGAGGAUCCGCUCCCAAAUGGCCACGGUGAUGCUGAACAGCUUGGGAAGAACCAGGAGAAGGUAAAGGUAAGGGAAAGCUCAGCUGGAACUGGGACUUGCUGCACCCCCAGAUGACUCCAGAUGCUUGGGCAGAAGCAGAGGGCUGGCUGGCUUCCUUAAAUCUGCUCUUGGCUAGAGAGAUGCAAGCUGUUGUCCCAGUGCACACAGCUUUCUGCCUUUGUCAUGGUGGAUUAGUCCCGAGAUGCUCCCUCAGCUAUCAACAACUCAUUUUGGAGUGGCUGUGCUGCCUGCAGCUUUCACAGGGCUUUUCCCAAAUAAUACUUCCUUUGCAGUGGUUUCUGACCAGCUUUUUCCCUGGCUGUAUGCUUUGGACUUUGGCCUAGAAAGCACCACCUGGGCCAGCUGUCUCCAGAGAAGCCCUCUGUGCCUGCACAGCCCCACAACAUCUGCAGACGACAAGCUGCUGUGGGUCACAGGGAGGAGGGGAUGGGCUGGUCACACAGGGCUGGCUGAGCUCACCCAUGGACUCACAGGCUGAUGGGGGUGGCUCACAUGCAGUUAUCUUCUACAGGAAGAAAUACUCUUUUAUUCCAGAAUAACUGUCCUAGCUUUAUUCAGGAAUAAUUGCUCUGCAUUCAUCUCACUCCCUGCUCUCAUUCAGAACUACCCUGUGAGCAAGAGCUGCUCCAGUGGUUUUCUCAAUUUAUGAUUCCUCCCAAACCGUUGUCACCAUCCACCUUUCUCCAUCAUCAGAUUUUACAGAAAGGGAGAAUUUAGCAGAUUUCCACAUGCAGGUCUGCAGUGCUGAUGACAAGGGAACUGCUCAUGUCACAAAGCCAAGGAACAUGCUGAGCAUACGCCACUGCAAAACCCUAAAUUUGUUUUGCUAAGGCACAGCAGAAACAAACCCACCAGCUAUGGAAACUGUCAAAGAAAGAAUGGCUGCAAAGUAUUUUGUUAUGUUAAAAAGAAAACAAACUACAUACAUUAGAAUACUUACUUUGCAUUUAUAGAGCAUCCUUCAUCCAGGGACAUCAAAGCACAUAAAAAAACACUAAAAUUCUUAUGCUACACUAGGUAGCAAAUACACACAUUGCAAAAAACUGCAGCAUCACGAUCUUAAAUGAGCUCCCACGUUCACACAGCAAGUCUGUAGCAGAGUUUGCAGUUGAAAAUCUCCCAGCAAUGCCCCAGCUGCCACACCAGACCCUUUCCUGGGCUGCCAGGCUUCCAAAUGGCCACUCUGUGCGUGCCCGGCCAGCACACACUCCUGCUGCCUUCUGCUGCCAAAUUCCCCACGUGCAGAGAGGUUGCUCACUGUGCCCUGUGCUCACAUUGGUUAGCUUGUGUUUUGAUUUCUUGCAAUGAAGUUUUUUUGCCCACCGAGUCCUUCAAGUUGAUGGAGACCAUAAAUUACUUUUUUUUUGAAGAGCCGCCAAAUUAUUAAAGCAACGAGACCCAAGACGCUCACCCUGGGCAAAAACCAAGGAUGGGAGCUCUUCCCUCAGCUGCCAGGGUGCUGCUUUCCUGGAGCACAAUCCAGCAGGACGUACGUGCCCAGCUCUGCUCCUGCUUCCGCUGGGAAGUUUUCCAUUAAGUCUCAGCAGGGCUGCAGGAACUGGUUCCCAUCACACCAGCAACAUAGCUUGGCAGGGAUGGGCAAUUUGGUUUGAGAAGCAAAGCAAAAUAAAUACAACAGGCUCCAA